rnacentral:rRNA from 1 species
AUUCCGGUUGAUCCUGCCGGAGGCCAUUGCUAUUGGGAUUCGAUUUAGCCAUGCUAGUCGUACGAGUUCACACUCGUGGCGAAUAGCUCAGUAACACGUGGCCAAACUACCCUUCGGACCACAAUACCCUCGGGAAACUGAGGCUAAUAGUGUCUACCACAGUCCACCUGGAAUGAGGACUGUGCCAAACGCUCCGGCGCCGAAGGAUGUGGCUGCGGCCGAUUAGGUAGACGGUGGGGUAACGGCCCACCGUGCCAAUAAUCGGUACGGGUCAUGAGAGUGAGAACCCGGAGACGGAAUCUGAGACAAGAUUCCGGGCC